GAUCACUCCCGGAAGCGCUGCUGGCUGGCUGGGUUCUGGGCGGGCUCCCGGCCGGUGGGAUUUCGGAACUAUGGCGAAGUACGGGAAGGAGCAGGAUGCCCAGAGCAUUGCUGCAUUCACGGUGUUAAAGCGGGCGAUGGAACUGGACUCGGGUUCCCGGUACCAGCAGGCCCUGGUGUGUUACCAGGAGGGGAUUGACCUGCUCAUGCAGGUCCUGAGAGGUACCAAAGAUGAUACAAAGAAACGUAAUCUCCGAAAACAAAUUUCUGGCUACAUGGAUAAAGCAGAAAUAGUAAAGAAAUACUUGGAUCAAGAAAAAGAAGAUGGAAAAUAUCAUAUGCAGAUUAAAAUAGAAGAGAAUGCAACUGGUUUCAGUUAUGAGUCACUUUUUCAACAAUACCUUAAUGAAACAGUUACAGAAGUUUGGAUACAAGAUCCUUACAUUAGACAGAUUCAUCAGCUAUAUAACUUUCUUCGAUUUUGUGAGAUGCUUAUUAAGAAACCAUGUAAAGUAAAAACUAUUCAUCUUCUCACAUCUCUGGAUGAAGGUAGUGGGAAACAGCAGCAAAGUAGUGGCCUGCAAGAAAUAAAAAAGUCACUCCAAGAUCAUGGAGUGCUGUUGGAAUUAAAAUAUUCUUCUUCAGUACAUGACCGAGAAAUUAGGUUUAACAAUGGAUGGAUGAUUAAGAUUGGAAGGGGACUCGAUUAUUUUAAGAAACCACAGGUUCAGGUGCUGGUAAUGCUGAACCUGAAAAGACUCAAACCAGUGUGCCAAGCUUGGUUAUAUGGAAAUUCAGGGUCUCAGGAGAGCAAGUAUUGGACCUAAUCAGAAGUUAAUUUUCUGCAAAGUAUCGUAGCUUAUUUUGCCAGGUACCUAUCAGCAUGUGGAAGUAGAGAGGCUUUUCAUUCAGGCAACUCCAGUCUUGACCUAUUAGUGAGUGAUAAUUUUUAAAAGAUGAAGUAAAAAUCAAGUAUGUCAAGUAAGUGAAUAGUAUAUGGUAAGUAUUCCUUUUAGGUAUAGAUGAUAUCUAUGCUAGUAUUUUUUUUUUUUUUUACUCUAGUUUUUAAGGAGUUUAAACCCAGUAGACCAAACUGUCAGUUCCUGAGGUCAGUAAUCAUGUCUCACUCACCAUGAACAUCCAACAAUUCAAAGUACCUGGCACAUAGUAGGCACUCAUAAAGCACACAGUAAAUACUGUAGAAAUCAGAGGAGUAUAUGAAUGAACUGUGGAGACACAAACUGGUUCCUGUGAUGUUACUCUUUGAAGAAUUUUGGCAAUUUCUUCAUAAGAGAUGUAGAGACACAGCAAAACCUUCAGCAGGGGUUUUGGGGAAAGAAGAGACAUGAGCAUAUUUGUUCACACUACGCAUAAGGAUCCAUUGAGUGGAGAGAAAAAUGUAAGAUAAAAAAGAUAAUUAUUUUUUUAAGAUUUUAUUUAUUCAUGAGAGACACACAGAGGCAGAGACAUAGGCAGAGGGAGAAGCAGGCUCCCUGUGGGGAGACUGAUGCAGUACUUGAUCCCAUGGCCCCGGGAUCAUGACCUGAGCCUAAGGCAGACGCUCAACCACUGAGCCACCUGGGUGCCCCAAAAAGAUAAAUAUUUAAUAGCACAAGGCCCAAACAGGUUGGAAAGGACACAGAUACAGGUACAACAAGAGGAGUUAACCUUAAGGAAAAAGUGUUAGAGAAUGAGAUCUGUUGAGAGGAAAUAAGGUGCUGAAGGAGCUCAUUUAUGAAAGCCUACACUGUCAAAUUGAGUCAAGUUUUGUGACAAAAGAAGUGGAGUUCCAAGUUUAAGAAAAGUGGAAACAUUUAUGAACAAGGCCCCUGAAGGAUGAGGGAGUCCAUGGAGAGGGGUUGAAUCUAACAUCAAUAGAGAAUAAAUAUAAAUUGAAAACUAUAAAUAUGAAAUUGGGUUCAUCUGCAUGAUUAUGUGAAUUUUCCUGUCAUCUGGGUAUGAUAGGAAUGAAAAAUCAAUUGAUGGAAUCAUAACAAUAAAAUAUUGGCCAUUGUAGGUCAAGAGAGAAAAGCAAAUGAGAAUGUGGUAAGAAAGAAUACUUGAAAUAAUUCAGGGUUGGGUAGGAAGAGAGGUGCAGCAAGAGAUCUGGAGAGUUAAGGGCUUAGAAAAGUGCCAUGGGCUUAAUUUAACGGGAGAGGAUGGAAGUACAGCUGACACCUGAAUAACGGGGUCAGAGAUGCUAGACAUGGCACAGUUGAAAAUCUACAUAUAACUUUUGACUUCCCAAAAACUUAAUUGGUAGCUUACUGACCAGAAGCCUUACUAAUAACCGUCAAGACAUAUUUCGUAUGUAUUACUGUAUUCUUACAAUAAAGCUAGAAAAAAUGUUAUUUAAAAAUUUUAAGAGAAAAUAAAUUUAUAGCACUGUAAAACAUCUACAUAUAAUUGAAACAAAGGAAGAACUUUAGAGUUUAAGGUAUCAGGGGUGACAAGAAGCCUGGGUUAUAUUCCUUAGAAGUAAAAAAACAAAAGCAAAAACAAAACUCAGAGAUCACAGUGUUGAAUAUGGUAUACAUACCCACAAUGGUAACAGAGAAAGGAGCAGAUAUAUGUGUGCUAGAUUUAAAAAAAAAAAAAAUCAAUGAAGAAAGAGGUAGAGUAUCCUG